CUCUGGAAUUUUGUCCUUUAAAUAUUUCAGAACAGCCUUUGUUCCUCUAUCUAAAAUUGUCCUUCGUAUGCAGUAUGAACAAAAAUAAAUAUAGACUUAUCAUCAGGAUGGUUCCUCUAAUUCUCAGGAUGUUGGAAUAGAAGGGUGGGCUCAUUGAUGUUUCAAGCCUUUGUAAAAGUUACUAACAAACAUGAAAACGUACUUGAGUGUGCUUAUAGGUAACAUAGAAAUUACAAGUCCCUUUCUCUCUCUUAAGAUUCAUUCAACAGUCCUUGCCAAGGAAAAACUUCAUUGCCCAGGAAAAUUAUUUUUCAGGGUCAUGAAGAAAAUUUUCUCCAUUCUAUUUCAGAAAGUUCAAUUGCCAACAUAAGAAGUAAAAACUUAUUAAAUGUACUUAGUUCAUGAUACUUGUCUAUAAACCAAUUCAAUUAGAAUGAAAAGAUGUAACUUGAACGAGUGCAUAAAGUCGACGAGUAUCAUACCUUCUCAAUGGAUUCCCAUCAAGUCUUAAGGCCUGUAGGCUUGGUUCAAGCAAACCCAGCUCUGGUGGAAGUGCU
rnacentral:misc_RNA from 1 species